UAUUGGCCUUUUCAGCCACCAACGCACUUGCAACAAACGUGGGUAGAGCCCUUCCCAAAUCUUUGUUCGCGAAGCCCGACCAUGAUAGUCUGUAAAUGUGCGGUGUUAGAAAAGCAGGCUAAGUUCUGGGAUGGUUGUAGAAGGAGAAAGAAGCCCAGAGGCCAGUGCAAGCAGGCAGCCCUCAGCUUGCACAUGAUGUCCCCUCCCUGCAGGUUCCUGUCCUUGAGCCCAGGCCCUGAGGUGAGCCUGAGAAGUGGCCCGGAGGUGAGCCUGAGAAUAAAGCAGAGGUGCUGCUGAGGAAGGAGAGCCCCGUGGUGGGGAAGGCACAAAGCUGUGAGUGCCCAUCCCCGAGCAGGUGCUGUGUCCAUCCCCUGUGUGCCAGCUGUCAGGUGAGCGGAGCGGCCACGAUGGGAAAGGGGCGAGAGAAGCAAAAAGAGCAGGAUCUGUCCUUCCCAAAGCUUGGGC